UACGAAGGGGGCUAGCGUUGCUCGGAAUCACUGGGCGUAAAGGGUGCGUAGGCGGUUCUUUAAGUCAGGGGUGAAAUCCUGGAGCUCAACUCCAGAACUGCCUUUGAUACUGAAGAUCUUGAGUUCGGGAGAGGUGAGUGGAACUGCGAGUGUAGAGGUGAAAUUCGUAGAUAUUCGCAAGAACACCAGUGGCGAAGGCGGCUCACUGGCCCGAUACUGACGCUGAGGCACGAAAGCGUGGGGAGCAAAUAGG
rnacentral:rRNA from 1 species